UUGAAUGAGAUGUUAUUACUGUUUUGGAGGAAUUAAAGUACUGAAAGUCUUCAAACUCCCAAUGUUUACUAGAAUGCAAAUUCCACCAAACACUCUCACCCAAUAUACUAUACAAUUCCAAAUCGACGGUGUUUUAAUCCAUCAGUUGCACCACAUUAUGAUCAAGUCUUAAUUAGAUCAAGAAUUAGGG